AAAUUGAAGAGUUUGAUCAUGGCUCAGAUUGAACGCUGGCGGCAGGCCUAACACAUGCAAGUCGAACGGUAACAGGAAGCAGCUUGCUGCUUCGCUGACGAGUGGCGGACGGGUGAGUAAUGUCUGGGAAACUGCCUGAUGGAGGGGGAUAACUACUGGAAACGGUAGCUAAUACCGCAUAACGUCGCAAGACCAAAGAGGGGGACCUUCGGGCCUCUUGCCAUCGGAUGUGCCCAGAUGGGAUUAGCUUGUUGGUGGGGUAACGGCUCACCAAGGCGACGAUCCCUAGCUGG
rnacentral:rRNA from 2 species